GCGGUGCGGGAGCGGAGCUGGAGCUGGGCUGGCGGGCGGGUGGGCUCCCCGCGGCCGGCCGCGCUCGCUGCCGCCUUCCCCUGCACGCACGCACUUCGCGGAACAAGGAACAGGCAUUUGUGACACUUCAUGUUCCACACCCCGACCAGUGUGUGAGGAACAAUGUCUCCAGGCACUUUCUGCCCUGCACGGGUGGGUCCAUGCCACCAGAAGAACUCAGAGGAUUGUACAUCCAGACAUAGGAAGAGAAGUUGUCUUCAGUGGAAGAAGGAAUAAGGGUGAAGGUCCUCAAGAUCCUGUGAAAUAGUCCUGGCAGAAGCACCCGGCUGCACACCUGGAGCAGGCCAUGGGCAGCAGGAAGAGUGUAGCACCCUGACCAGGCACCUGCACUCCAGUCAAGCACAGGGAUGUCGGAUGCAGCAUGCAGGGGCCUGUGUGGGGGCUCUGUUUUCCUGAUAACAAACUUCACUUGGAACCAUCUUCCUCUUUUUUUCCCCACACACAUCAAAAGAAACCAAACCAACUCAGAAAUCUGAGUUUGUCAUUUGAUCAAGUGAAUUCAGCAUAGAACUGUAACACAGCAUUGCUUUGAAUGGAUGUUUAGUUGUGAUUUUCUGGCUUCUUAAGGUUUGACAGAAACUAUUGGUUUUAUUAAUGUUGUAAUAAAGGUUUAUUGUUCCAUCC